rnacentral:rRNA from 1 species
GACGAACGCUGGCGGCGCGCCUAACACAUGCAAGUCGAACGAGCGAGAGGAGGUUUACUUUCUCAAGCGAGUGGCGAACGGGUGAGUAACGCGUGAGGAACCUGCCUCAAAGAGGGGGACAACAGUUGGAAACGACUGCUAAUACCGCAUAAGCCCACGACCCGGCCUCGGGUAGAGGGAAAAGGAGCAAUCCGCUUUGAGAUGGCCUCGCGUCCGAUUAGCUAGUUGGUGAGGUAAUGGCCCACCAAGGCCACGAUCGGUAGCCGGACUGAGAGGUUGAACGGCCACAUUGGGACUGAGACACGGCCCAGACUCCUACGGGAGGCAGCAGUGGGGAAUAUUGCACAAUGGGGGAAAUCCUGAUGCAGCGACGCCGCGUGGAGGAAGAAGGUCUUCGGAUUGUAAACUCCUGUUGUUGAGGAAGAUAAUGACGGUACUCAACAAGGAAGUGACGGCUAACUACGUG